AUACGGAGGAUCCGAGCGUUAUCCGGAUUUAUUGGGUUUAAAGGGUGCGUAGGCGGAUGAUUAAGCGUGAGGUGAAAUGCCACUGCUCAACAGUGGAGCUGCCUCGCGAACUGGUUGUCUUGAAUGCUCCUGCCGUGGGAGGAAUGUGUGGUGUAGCGGUGAAAUGCAUAGAGAUCACACAGAACACCGAUUGCGAAGGCAUCUCACGAAGGGGUGAUUGACGCUGAGGCACGAAAGCGUGGGGAUCAAACAGGAUUAGAUACCCUGGUAGUCCACGCAGUAAACGAUGAUAACUAACCGCUGGGUCGUAGUGAUUCAGUGGCCAAGCGAAAGCGAUAAGUUAUCCACCUGGGGAGUACGACCGCAAGGUUGAAACUCAAAGGAAUUGGCGGGG
rnacentral:rRNA from 1 species